rnacentral:rRNA from 1 species
CCUACGGAGUGCAGCAGUGGGGAAUAUUGGACAAUGGGCGAAAGCCUGAUCCAGCCAUGCCGCGUGUGUGAAGAAGGCCUUCGGGUUGUAAAGCACUUUCAGUGGGGAAGAAAGCCUUGGGGCUAAUACCCUCGAGGAAGGACAUCACCCACAGAAGAAGCACCGGCUAACUCCGUGCCAGCAGCCGCGGUAAUACGGAGGGUGCGAGCGUUAAUCGGAAUUACUGGGCGUAAAGCGCGCGUAGGCGGUCUGAUAAGCCGGUUGUGAAAGCCCCGGGCUCAACCUGGGAACGGCAUCCGGAACUGUCAGGCUAGAGGGCAGGAGAGGAAGGUAGAAUUCCCGGUGUAGCGGUGAAAUGCGUAGAGAUCGGGAGGAAUACCAGUGGCGAAGGCGGCCUUCUGGACUGACACUGACGCUGAGGUGCGAAAGCGUGGGUAGCAAACAGGAUUAGAUACCCGAGUAGUC